rnacentral:misc_RNA from 1 species
ACCUACACUUUUUUCACUGUAAGAAAUAUCUGCGCCCACGACGAGAUCGACGGUUUAUUGAAGCGCGAUUUGUUGAGUCAAGUGCGAAAAUAAUUACGGUGUCUAAGAUACGUUUUAUCGUUAUUGUGUAUCUACGAGUAAGGAUUAUUCUGUGCUUUAAUGCCUGAGGGGCCAAUUUUCACGGCUUAGGAAUAUCGAAGCGUAAAGGCAAAUAUAUUUUACCAAAAAUUUUUCAACGACGAACGGAUCUGAAAUAAUUUCCCCCGAAAGAAAUUUAAAAAAAAAUAAAUAAAUUAAAUUCAAAGCAAACGUAAAAUAAAUACAGGGAGCAGGAAUGAUCCUGUUUGGAUUAAUCAUCCUUUCAACCCUGAGCUGGGAAACUCAGGGGAUAUUCUACCACAUUCAAGAUUGCGAGAUUGAGGCAAUCGACGAAGAAUGGUUCGACGUUGAUGCAAGCUCUUGUGAGCUGGAGCUUUUGAACGAUACGUUUAACGCCCUGAAACUGGAUUUAAGUGUUAUCAAGGACUUUCCAGAGGAUACGUAUGGAGAAUUUGACGCGUUCUUACGUAGAGCUGGAAAUUACAAAACUAGCGCAGGUAUUUACGUUAAAGAAGAUAUCUGCAGUUUUGUCAACGAGGAAGUAAUGUUAGGGGAUUUCUUUAAAACCAUUGGUAUAACCGAGAAUAAUUGCCCCCCGAAAAAGGGUAUUUUUACAAUGGAAAAAUCGUGGUACCCGUCAAGAAAAUUAUUGCCGAAGACGGUGGAUGGAAUGGAGUACAAGACGAUGUUCGCCAUUACUAUAAACGAAAAGCGUGUAUUGAUUCUCGCGGUUUACACUGACGUAGCUUCGUCGGAAUGGGAAACUGAUGACGAUGCCGACAAUUAGGUCAGAGAUCAAAGCCACGUUCUAACAAGAAAAAAUAAAAAUAUUGACUCAAAACGCUUUUAUUUGAGUAAAGAGACACUUUUUGGAUGAUUUUGAGAUGUUUUGGACAUGUUUGAGAAAUCGAGUAUUUUUUAUUUUCAUAAUUUCCCUUUUUAUCGCAAUGAGAGAAUAAUUCUACAAAAUGUAUAGCGGCUAUAGAUUUGACAGAAAAUUUCACCCCCCCCCCUUUUUAUACACUCGACAAUUAGUGCAUGUCGAGAAAAUCGUGAAGAACGAAAAAUCAAUAUUGUAAACCAUAGUGCGCAAAAAACCGAACGGGUUAACCAAUCGAUGAUACGUACGGUAAUGAAAGAAAAUUUUACUACGCUCCCAAUGUGACAAAUUUAAAUAUUAUCAUGCAUCGUGUAAAAAAUUGUAGCAGAAAUUCUGUAUUUUGCAAUGAUUUCGUUUUUAUACAAUUUUGCUGUUAUUUUUACCUCGUUAAUCAAUUGUAUGAUAAUUUGUGCUUCAUUCUAUUUAUUUUUUUCAUCCGUUCGUCAUUCUGUAGUUAAUAUAUAAAUACGUGUAAGAAAUAAUAUGAAAAUAAAAAUUAAUCGAGCAUCGAACAGUCUAAGAACAUCAUUGCAGAUUGAAGGUGAAAAAAAAAAACGAUGUAAAAUAUCUUGUAAGCGAGAACGAAAUAAUGGUGAGCCGAAAUUUUUUUUUUAUAACACGCGUAAUUGCAGAACUCAUGACUUAUUCGCCAUUGGGUAUACAUAACCCCUGUAACGAAAUAUCCACUAUAAUAUACGAUUAAAGGGAUGACAGAGAAAGUGGCGAAGGUUUGGAGUUGGGGGGUUGGAUUUGGAGGGGUGGAGGGAUGGUUAAAACUUCCUCGAUUUGUAAUAUCGGCGUUCCUCUCUCUCUCUCUCUCUCACUCUGUCUCUCCGUUUCUCUCACACACAUUAUUUCACAUCGAACGAACAAACGAACAAACAAACCGUUCCGUUUCCCCGGUGGAAUUUGGCGCGGUAGUUAUCACGGAUCGUUCCAAAACGGAAGAGGAGAGAGGCAACGAGUGAGAGAAAGAGAGGGGAGAGAGAGAGAGAGAGAGAGAGAGAGAGAGAGAGAGAGAGAGAGAGAGAGAGAGAGAGAGAGAGAGAGAGAGAGAGAGAGAGAGAGAGAAGGAGAAGAGCAGAAACUGUUCAGGGAUUUCUGUCCCCAGUUUCUCCCACACGAGAGGCUUACAUGGGAUUGGUAUAUAGUGCUUACACAUGCGCAUGGGAAACGUGUAAAUGUGCGCAAGUAUGCUGUAGGCACCGUAACGUAAAAUUAUUCGAAAAUACGAGCCACGAAAUCUCGAGGGGGACUUUUUGGUAGCCGAGGAACAAGAGGAUCGCCUGCAGGUUGUACACCGUUUGGCCAUUGAAAAGGAGAAUGGUGGAUAUUGGAUGAAGGGUGGAAUAUAACGAACGAAGUGAAGAGACAAGAGAUAAAGAGAAAUCUUCAACGAAUAAUGAAAAUCCGUCGCACGAUUCUCGCUCUUCUCGUUUCGCAACGUAUGUAUAUAUUAUAUAUAUUAUUAUAUUAUAUAUAUUUAUAUAUAUUAUUAUUAUAUUAUAUAUAUAUAAUGCAGAGAGUACAAUUAAGCCUCCGUCCCCUCUUAAAUAUAUCAAAAGUAAGCCGGGAAGAGGGUUGAAAAGGUAUUUAAGGGGUAACACUACUCUGGAAACCUAAGAAAUGCACCAUUGUAAACAUUUUUUUUUAAUAUAUAUAACCGAAGAAAAGGUAAUAAGAUAACAAUAUUUGAGAAAUUCAUUAUGAAUAUAGUUAAGUACGAUACAAAAAAAUUUUGUCUUCAGCAAAUAUUAAAAAAUGACGACACUGGAGCAACUGUAACUGGUGAAAAUUUGAAUUUGGAAACGAAACAAAAAAAUGAAAAAUCACUCAAUCCACGUAAUAGCAGCUACAGAAAUUCGUAAGGGAUUUUUGAUAAGCUAAUUUAAACAUUAUUUAUUAACGAACAAGUUGCCUUUCUUUUGGUAAAAAAUUCAAGAUUUUCUUCCAAAUACUCCUCAAUCACACAAUUUUUACGAUUGCGAUGUUUUCAAAAACGUGUUCGACUCUGGAAGAAAAAGAAAAAAAAAAAAAAAAUUGGAACAGAACAAUCAAUUCUUUAAACAACGGCGUCAAGUUGAGUAUUAAAAAGUAACGAUAAAUCGAUCGCAGAAAAA